UACAGAGGGUGCAAGCGUUGUUCGGAAUUAUUGUGCGUAAAGGGUGCGUAGGCGGUUUGGUAAGUCUUGUGUGAAAUCUACAGGCUCAACUUGUAGUCUGCACGAGAAACUGCCGGGCUUGAGUGUGGGAGAGGUGAGUGGAAUUCCUGGUGUAGCGGUGAAAUGCGUAGAUAUCAGGAGGAACACCUGCGGUGUAGACGGCUUUCUGGACCAUUGCUGACGCUGAGACACGAAAGCGUGGGUAGCAAACAGG
rnacentral:rRNA from 1 species